rnacentral:lncRNA from 1 species
AAAAUGAAAAAAAAACACAAAACCUAACAUUAUUACCCAGUCAAAUCAGACAGCCUGGGCACAUUAAAAUCUCUCUUUUUCAUGCUGAAUCAUCACAUCUGUUUGGCAGAAAAAAAUUUCCAAAACGUUCUUUCUUCAAUCCUGUUACCAUUUUCAAUUCUCUUUCUUUUUGAAAUUUUCUUCAAUCCAGGUUUCUUAACCAUUCCUCUUCCAUGGCUUCUUCGUUGUAGAUCGACUCAUCUCUAACCAGGUACCUCUUUUCCCCAUUUGCUAAUGUUUCUUUCGCUAUUUUGUGGGCUUGAAAGUUCUCUGAUUUUUGAAUAAACUGAAAAUCUAUUUCUUGAAAUAGCGAACUAUGACUCUUGAUAUCUUUGAUAACUACUCCAAUGAUCGAUUUAUCCAUCUCUGCCGAUUGACAUUUUUUAAUGACUGUCUUCGAAUCUCCCCUUAUUGUGACUGAUCGGGGGCCCAGUGAAAUACCCAGCUUGAUUGCUUGUAAACAAGCGAAUGCCUCUGCAAGAAAUGGGGAUGAGACAUUGGAAUGAAGGGUUGUUUUUAAGACUCUUUAUCUCUCCCCUCCAGUUUCGUACAAUGACCCCCGACGCUGAUCUGGACCUGUUUGCAUCAAAAGCUGCAUCAAAUUGUAUUGUGUCCUCCAUUUUCUCCUCCAUAUGUCUCUGUAUUCUGGCAGUCUUCAAGGUACGUCUUUCCUUACCCACUCCUUCAAGUUCUGCUAUAUAGCUCUCUACUUUCUGUGUAAGGUCCCUUCCUGAUGUGUUUUUUCUCAUGUACCAUUUGAUUUCGUGAGCUCCAUAUGAUCCAUAGCGCAACAAAACAUCUGACACUGUUCCUUAGUUUCUUUUGCAAAUACCCAUGUAAGCCAUGUUCUGGUAUUUUGAUCUGAAUAUGAUGUAACCCAAUCCAUGUUAAUAUUCUGCCAAACUUCAGUAAUUGUAGGGCAUUGCUGGAAUACAUGGAAGCUGUCCUCUUCCUCGGAGCCACAACGAGGGCAUCUCAUGUUUGUGGUUAUUCGCUUGUAUCGUAGGUUGGCUAGUGUAGGAAUAUAAUUCCAGGAUAUCCGCUAGACAAACAGUAGAGUUUUUGAUGGAAGUUGUAAAUCCCAUAACUUUCUAUAGAAUUCUUUAAAAUCUGUCUAUAAUAAGUUAUUAAAAAUCGAAUCAGCUUCUUGUAAUAGUUUAUAGUCACUCCGUACAGAGAACUCUCCGGUCGGUUCACCUUUCCAAACGCGUAAGUCUUCACUGUUCGUUUCUGCAAGUGGUAUCUCCAAAAAUUUUUGAGCUAUAUCUGAUACUAAUAAUGACCUCUGUUUUCCACUUCUUAUUUGUUUCAUCAAUUAAACCUGAUACUAUUUUUAGUUCCCUAUUUUCAUCUCCGUUCUGCCAUGUACUAGGUUCAAUCCUUGGAAUCCACCGAUUUGUCCAGAAGGAAACAUUGUUUCCUCUCCCAACUCUCCAACUUAGCCCCUGAAGGAGGAGUCUCUUUGUUGCCCAGAUGCUCUUCCAGGUAAGAGAAGGUAAAUUCCCUAACUCUGCACUUAAAAAAUCUGAUUGUGGAUAAUACUUUACUUUAAGGACUCUAGCUAAAAGUGAAUUUGGAUAAUUAAAAAGAUGCCACCCCUGUUUGGCUAAUAACACAAUAUUAAGCUGACUGAGAUUACGAAAACCCAAACCUCCCUUUUCUUUUAAACUGCAAAGAUUAUUCCAAGAGCACCAAUGAAUUCCCCCUUUACCAUGACCCUUUUCCCACCAAAAUUUUGCGAUAAUUGCUUCCAUUUCUUCGCAUAAAGUUUUUGGGAGUAAGAAGCAAGCCAUUGAAUAUGCCGGGAUGGCCUGUAAUACAGCUUUGAUGAAAACUUCUUUCCCGCCCUGCGAUAAAAAUCUAGUGCUGCAGUUGUCAAUACGCUGCCUUAGUCUAUCUUUCAAAGCCUGAAAAUAAGCCUUUUUUUUUAUCCUACCAUGGUCUGUAACACCCCUUACUCGAGACCGUUUCCGGAGUCGAGCUCAAGGAAUUACUUUAUUUAACUUAUUAGUUCGGGGCAUAAAAGUUUGCUUUUAAAAUUUAUCUCACUAUCUAUGAUAAAGCUGUCCACUCGCGCAGCAGUCACUAAAUCAUUUAUAACUCGAGCUACGAAACUCAAAAUUUAAAUCUAUAAAUUUUCCUUGAAACUAGACUCAUAUAUAUUCUUACCAUUAAUUUUUUAGAAUUUUUGGUUUAGCCAAUUAGUGUAGUUUAUUAGUUAAAGUCUCCCCUGUUUCACUACUCGAUUGUCCUAGCCUCUUGCCACUAAAAAUAAGUUUUCUCAUUUUGGGAAUUUCAUAUGGUGUUCUCACUUGUUUCUACAAAAAAUAGACUCAAUAAGGAAUCUAGACAUAAAAAUUACAACUCAUUUUUUACAAUUUUUAGUGAUUUUCUAAACUCUGAACAGGGGACUCCAAAAACGGUUCUGACCCUGUCUCACCAAAAUUCGUAUAUCUCAAAAUAUAAAAUUUCUUUUGCUAAAACGUUAUUUUUUCAUGAAAAUAGACUCAACAAAAUUUCAGUAUAUAUAUCAUACACCCUCUAAUUCAUUUUAUACUAUCCUAAGUGAUUUUUCAAAAUCACGUCAUUGCUACUGUUUGAAAUCUGUUUCUUUGCAAAUUAUUACUCUUUCAUGAUUUUUAUGCAUAAUUUAUCACAUAGACAUGUAUAACAACAAACACCUUCAUACUUAACUAUUUUGACAACAAUUCAUCUUUAGAUAUUUACACAUCAUUAUUUAGCAAAAUCGUAAUACAACAUUCAAAAUAAGUAAGUCCAUAUACAUGCCAUAGUUCAAACAUAGUUCAUCACAAAAUACCGAGUCGUUGUGGUUGAUAGUGUGGAUGAUCUCCGACGUCUUUAGGAUCCUCGACUUUGAUUAAUAAUGCUAUAUAAAAAGAAAAUAAACAAAGUAAGAAUAAUGCUUAGUAAAUUUACAAGUAAAUAAAUAGCAACAUUUAACACAAUUAAUAAUACUCAAGUGACAUAAUCUUUAAUUUCCUCUUUACUUACUUCCUUACUCGUUCUCUUGCUUGUUUACUUAGUUAACUCAUAAUUAUGACUUACUUUUCUCUUGCUGAAACGUUGAUUCUCAAUGGGUAACAUAAUAUACUCUUAGCUCUUAUAACUCACUUGAACUUGCCAUUUAUGUUUUUAACUAAACUUUCAUGAACAUAAGUUAUUUACUAGCCUGUUGAGCCACAUUGGAACAAUAAUGAUACUUGGGUCUCUUUCUGAUAAUAACAUGCCAAAACCAUGUCCCAGAUAUAGUCUUACAUGGGAUGUUUCAUGUGCUACCAAUGCCAUGUCCCAGACAUAGUCUUACAUGGGAUGUUUCAUGUGCUACCAAUGCCAUGUCCCAGACAUGAUCUUACGGGGGACCUCUCAUCUCGGUGCCAACGCAAUGUCCCAGACAUGGUCUUAUAUGGGACAUCUCAUCUCGGUGCCAACGUCAUGUCCCAGACAUGGUCUUACAUGAGACCUCUCAUGAUCUCAAGGAUGCCAAUGCCAUGUCCUAUACAUGGUCUUACAUGGGAUCUCUUUACCCAAAUGUCAUGACAUUUGCAUCCAAUACGUUCCUCAUGUUUCAACGGGGCCUUUUAACACUGAUUCUCUGUCAUCUCAUACUUGAGUUAACAUUAGAUAUUUUCAUGAAAUAAAUACAUAAUUGCUGAAAAAUAACAGUAUUAAUAAUAAUUUUUAAAAUAUUGCAUUAAUUUACCGUAAACUUACCUCGAUACCAAAUAUAGUCAAAUCUACCACUUAGUCUUCAAUCUUAUUCUUUCCUUGAUCUAACCUCAAAUUCUAUUCUUUUUGAUCUAUAAUAGCAAAUUUAACUUAUUUAAUACUUACAUUCAUUAAAACAUCCCUCGACUUCAACUUUGGAAAAAUUACAAUUUUUCCCCUAAACUUUUACAUAAUUACAUUUUUCCCCAAAGCUCAGAAAUUAAACUUCAUCUCUUAUUCUUAUGUUUUACAACAUGCUGAACAUUUUUCUCUUCUAUGACAACAUCAAAUUCUUACUCUAAAAUCUACUUAUGAACAUUAGGUAUUUUACCGAUUAUGGAGUUUUACUCGUUUUCGCUUAAAAUCGACUAGCAAAAGUUGUUUAACAUAAUUUUUAACUUCAUAUUAUAUCUUAAAACAUCAAAAUAAACACUUUUCACCUAUGAGUAUUUUUUCAAAUAUAAACCCUAGGUUAAAUUAUUACUAGAAUAAACUAAAUUAAGCUACCGGGAUCGCAAAAAUGUAAAGAACAUUAAAAACGGGGUUUGGAAUCACUUACUAUGAGCUUGAGAAAGUGUGAAAACCCUAGCUAUGGUGUCCAAAUUUUGGCAGCAAGCUUUUUUGGAGAAGAUGAUAUUUUUGCCAUCUUUUUCCCUUUUUAUUCUUUUUAUUAUUCAAUGACUAAAAUGCCCUUCAUUAAAACUUUAGUUAUUUUUAUCUAUGCAUGUCUAUUUUUUUCCAUGGAAAUUUUAUGGUCUAAUUGCUAUUUAAGGACCUCUUCUUUGAUUAUGCACUUCAAAUAAAUCCUUUAUCAUCUAAAACUCAUAUUUACCCACUUUUGCAGUUAAGUCCAAAUAGGCAAUUUAGGCAUGCAAUCAAUAAAAUUUCUUAUCAAUACUCUAGUACUUAUAUCUAAUUACUAGAUAAAUCAUAAAAAUUAAUAAUAAUUUUAUCUUUAAAUUGGAUUUGUGGUUACGAAACUACUAUUCUGAUAACCUUAAAUUUGGGCCAUUACAUGGUCGGCAAACCUAGAUAACAUUCUGGUUCAUUUGAGCUUCGGAUUCCUAGCAAGUUUACCACCUGACUUCUUUCUUCUGCCAUCGUAUUUUUGCUGGAAAAAUAGUUGAUUUGUCCAUAUUCACACACUGUCCUGAACCUCUUUUAUACUCACUUUUGAUUUCCUUGAUUGUAUUAUCCCCUCUACAUGUUGCCUCCCCAAAAAGAAUGCAAUCAUCUGCAAAUAAUAAAUGUGAUACCUGUGGUCCUCUUCUGCUUACUUUGACACCCUUCAAAAAACCUUCAUUUGUUGCUUUUCUCAUAAGACUGGAAAGGCCUUCCCCACAUAUUAAGAAAAGAAAUGGACUCAAAAGAUCACCUUGUCGAAGUCCCCUCGAUGGACUGAAUGUCACCCCGACAUUUCCAUUUACCACAACCUUGUAAGAAACAAUAGUCAUGCAUUUCAUAAUAGUAUCAAUCCAACUUCGAGCGAAACCCAUUCGACACAUUAUUUCUUUAAUAAAAUUCUAUUCAACUCUAUCAUAAGCUUUACUCAUGUCCAAUUUUACAGCCACAUAGCCCUUUUUCCCCACUCUUUUCUGUUUUAGGGAACGCAAUAUCUCGUAAGCAAGCAAAAUAUUAUCCGAGAUUAAUCUUCCUGGCACAAAGGCACUUUGUGCACUAUCAAUGCAUUUAUCAAUCACUCCUCUAAAUCUGUUCGCUAUAACUUUUGCCAUUAUUUUAUAAAUGACAUUGCAUAAACUAAAAGGCCUAAAAUGUGUCAUAUUAGCCGGGUUAUUAAUUCUUUGAAUGAGCACAAUAUGAGUUGUAUUAAUUGAACUAACCUCCAUAUCUUCAUUCAAGAGUUGUAGACAGAAGGAAACUACAUCAUCUCCAAUAAAAUGCCAAUACUUCUGAUAAAAUAAAGCUGGGAAUCCAUCUUCGCCUGGUGCCUUAGUGGGUGCCAUCUCGAACAAAGCCUCGCGGAUUUCUUCUCAUGUAUAUUGCACAGUCAGCUUUUUAUUUUCCUCUUUAUAGAUACAUCAACCAAUACCCGAGAGUAAAUAGUCGAGAUUCUCUUGAUUCUCUGAAGCAAAUAAAUUCUGGAAGUAGGACCUUGCUAUUUCUUCCAUUUCCUGGGGAUCUCCCGUAUCCCUUCCAUGUGCAUUUUGUAACCUCCUGAUCUUGUUUUUCCUCUGUCUUUGGGUUGUCUGGCUAUGGAAAAAAGCUGUAUUUUUGUCACCUAAUUUUAACCAAGUCAAUCGAGCCCUUUCCUCCUUAUAUCUUUCCUCCUUCUCAAACUCCAUAUUUAGUUGAAUCUUCGUAUCGAUCAUCUCCGCCAUGUUAAUGUCGUCCCUGUCAGCAUUGAGCAGCUCAGAUAGCUUUGUUGUUAAAAAUCUCUUUUCCAUUUUUCUUGUUUCGUAUUUUCCCAGCCCAAUUUUCAAGCCCUUUAUUUAGGAUUUUCAUUUUCUACAAAAAAUUACCUAGUGUCAUCUUCCACAGCUGCUAGCUUAAGCAACAAAUGAGUCCUCCAAAAACCACCAGUUUUCAAUUUUGAAUAUAUUCCCAUUUUGUCGUCUUGUUUCCUUUUUAGUAUCAAUUAAAAUGGGACAAUGAUCAGAAAAAGAAUGAACCAAAUGUUGAGCUUUAACGUCAGAAAAUAAUGAAAUCCAUUCCUUAUUUGCCACCCCCUAUCCAACCGUUAUCGUAUAUUUUUUUGGGAGAUUACCUCUUUCCCAUGUGAACCAUUUGCCCGAAUAACCCACAUCAUUCAAUUGACAAAACUCCAGCGCUUUUCGAAACAUUUCCAUCUGUCUUUCAUCACGGGGCAAGCCUCCCUUCUUCUCAAAACCAUACAUGACUUUAUUGAAAUCUCCACAUACUAACCAUGGUAUAUUAUCUCCAUUAGAGAGAUUUUUGAGAACAGCCCAUGAAUCUUCUUUAUCUUGUGCGUACAGGGUACCAUAGAAACCUGUAAAAAGCCACAUAACCUCCCUCUCAUUGUCAUGGACUAUCGCGUCAAUAUGCCUUUUAGAGAAAUUUUUUAAAGAAAUAUUAACGCCAUUCUUCCAUGCCAAACAUAGCCCUUCUCUAGUUCCCUCUACGUCCACCUCAAUGCCAUUCACAAAACCACAUCUCUGUCAAACUCUUUCCAUCUGUUUUCCGUAAAGUUUAGUCUCCAUAAAGAAGACUAUGUGGGGAUCACAAGUCUUCAGCAAGUGCCGAAGUCUUCUAACUGUCCGUGGACUCCCCAAUCCACGAAAAUUCCGACUUAUUAUUUUCAUAAUGCCCGGUCGGCUUGCCUCUUGGCAGCCGCCGAUGACAAAUGAUUAAGAUCCAUUAAUCUCCUAUUUCUUGCCGGGGAAUUUAACUCCUCAGUCUUUGAUAAGUCGUUACUCUCCCUUCUAGAUCUUUUUUUACCUUCUUCUCCUACUAAGGCUACAUCCUCCAAGUCAUGAUCCAUCGCAUGUUGACCAUGGUCUGUCAGUGAGCUAACCUGCUUUGCAUAAUCAAAUAGUAAGCCACCUUCCAGAUUAAUACUGAGAACUGGUUCAAUAGCCUUCCCAAAACUCUUCCUGUGCUCCAUUUUCUGUGGUCCAUUCAUAAAUCUCAUGUUUGCCUCCUGAAUCCCGUCUGAACUCCCCUCCCCUUCCUCUCGUAGCCAGACAAUAUUCAUAGUCAGAGCUCUUCGGGAUUGUGCUUUUAUUGAUAAAUCCCACCCCAUUUCAGCUAUUUUCACUCCAGUCAUCGUUUUUGCCUUACAAAACGAGUCAUUAUGGCCUAGUUUUCCAUAAUAGAAGCAGAAAAGAGUCAAUCUUUCAUAUUUAAAACAGAUAUAUGAUCGUCUCCCACAGAAUUCGAUCAACUUAGACCCUAACCCUCAUAAAGUUUCUAUUUUCUUUCCAUAAAUUUGACACAUCAUAUUCCAUAAAAUACCCCAAAAAAUUCCCUAGAUUCACUGCUAAAUUUUUAGAAAACAAACCAAUGGGCACUUUAUGUAUCUGAACCCAGAAAGGGGUUAGCACUAAAGGGACCUGCAACGAAUCCUCCCCCCACCACAGUCUAUAAAAUAUCAAUAGAUGAUUAUUGAAGGUCCAUGGGGAGCCUUUCAAAACCCUCUCCAUAUCCAUAGAAUGAAAAAAUUAGAACAAAAACCUUUUUCCCCCCAAAUCCCGAAUGCAAACUCCUCGAACAGGAUGCCAUAGUACUUUUCAUGGCUGGAAAGUGAAUUAUACUCGUUGUAAGAAAACACCCCACUAAUUGAAAAAACUAUUCACUUCUUUCCGUACCUAGAUUUUUUUGAAUUUUAAUAACAUCUUUCUCUUCGUUGAUCGAUAAUUGGGCUAAUUCAUUCUCUAUAAUUUUUAGGGACACAACGCCGUAAGCCAAAAAGAAAGACAGAAGAACAAAAAACCUAAAAUUUUGCCAAAGGCAGUAGACACAAACGUGCUAGGCGUUGCUGAAUUAAAAGAACUUACAUCAACAAGAAUAAUCACAAAUGGAAAUGAGCUUUUCGACAGAAUAUGAAACUAAUUAUUCAAGCUCAAUAAAAAAAUAUGUUUUUGUUCUUUUUUUUCUUUUCGAUUUAUUUUUUUUUUGAGAAAUAAGAAAUAAAAUUCAACAAUUUCAAAAAAAAAUGAAACAUAGUUAGGCAACUAACCAAAUCAAAUCUUGACAAAAAGGGGAGUCAAUAAAAACAACAAUUAAGGUGGUUAAAUGGGUUAAAUCUUAAGUGUCUCUAUAAUGUCAAUAUAUUAAAUCAAUAAUGUGGUCUAGAUAUGUAUAAUAUAAGCAAGUUCUAGAAUAACAAAUGAAGUUGACAUACUUUCAACCAAAAAUAAAAUGAUCACGAAUAAAUAUAUGCUCUAUAGGCUCAAAGGCUCACAAAAAAUUAAGGUUUUGAUGUCAAACUUGCAAUUUCAGAGUUUGAAGAUAAUAAUUCAAUUCAGGAAGGCAACCUAAAAUAUUUAUUUCUUAAAAAAUAACUUAUCAUGCUUGACUGUCUCGUGCCUUAAAGACACACAAAUUAAUCCAAAACAAUAUCAAUAAAAAUUUCAAAUAAAAAAAUUCACUCUAAUGGAUAACCUCCUCAGACUUAAGAUAUACAUUGUCCUUAAUGUGCAAAUAGAUGUAAGCACAGAAUAAGACAAUAUCAAAAGAGAGGGAGAACUGAAACUGCCUUGAAUAUGGAUGAAUUCGCCAUAAUAGUGAAAACUGGAAUCGUAAGCGAGUUUAAAUGAAAUGCAUGUUUCUGAGCAAACUAAUAAGAAAAUGAACAAAAAUAAAUAAGAAGGUAAAGAGAUUACAAACUCGAACAAAAAAACCAUCAAAAUAAUAAAAAUAACAACAUAGUUUAAAAUAGAAAUAAAAUAAAUUAGUAUCACAAAAAAUACAACAAUUAAAAAUAAAAGCACAAUUGAAAAUAAAACAAAUAAAGCAAAUAAAAUGAAAAAAUCAGUGAUCGUCGUCGUGAGAGGCGUCAGGAUCGCGCGGAACAUAAGCAGAAUGAGAGAUAUGGAGGUGUUGGUGAAUCGAUGCAAGGUCGCGUAAAUGUUUGUUGAACAGUGCUAACUGUUACUUGACGUACUCAUAAUGUAACCGCUCGAGGUGAUUUAGCCGAUGUGAAAUAUCGUCGAGUGUGACUGAAUGUGCAGGUGUGGUAGUAGAAGGGCUUGGAGAAGUGGGAAUGGGUCGCAGUGCUGGGGGGAGAUCAUUGUUAAGGUGCUCAUUAUCCUUGUGCUAUUAAGUCGCUCGUAGCAACACAUACUGAUCACCGAAAGGCCCAGACUAACGAGCGAUCAUCCUCAUGUGUUUCAUAAUAUUUAAACCUUGUGGUGUCAUGUCCCCAACCAAAGUAAGAGUACUAAUCUGUUCUCGAGUCUCGAUAAGACUGAAGAGACUAGUCAAGAGUGUGAUAUAUAGACCCAUACAAAGAGGUCCUCUCCGUGACCUCUCACCCUGAUUACAACAACACUGAGCUACGAAGUGGGAUAGAUCAAUCAGAUGUUGUCUGUGCAUGCUCUAUAAGAAAUGUGCAUCUAAAGUGCCCAUGACGCUUGUAACGACCCAUUUUCAGUGGUGUUAGAAAUAGUGAUUUUGGGACCACAAUUCUGACGAGUGAAUUAUUAUUUUAUCAUUUAUUUAAUGUUUAUUGGAUUAUAUUAAUGUCGUAUUAAAAUUUUGUUAAGAAAUUUUGAUGUUUAAAUGGUUAAUUAGGUGAAAAGGACUAAACCGUAAAAAGUGUAAAAGUUGAGAGUUCUAUUAGUUAAAGUGGUCCAAUGACUAUGAAAUCAAAAAACUAAAAGGAUUGAUUGGUAAAUAUACCAUUUAAAGUGUCAAUAGAUGUGCAUGGACAAGGUUUUAAUGAAAUUUUGAUAGUUUUUAAAGGUUAAAAUGACAAUUGAAUAAUUAACUUAAAAACAAAACAAAUUAAAAAUGGUAUCAUCUUCAUCCUUGGCUAUCUCCACCAAAAUUUGAAGAGAAAAACAUGAUUAGGAUAGGGUUGAGAAUUCGAUCAAGUUUCUACUUGUAUGUAAGUGAAUUCAAGCUCCGUUUUUAAUAAUUUUUGUGUUUUUAGUUCAUUUUAGUUUAAUCUAGCUAGCCCGGGGGUUAAUUUGCAAAGCUAUUAAUGGUUGAAAGACUUUUCAUGGAUAUUUUUGAAUAUGUUUUGACGUUUUUUGAUGGAUUAUUUAUCUUUAUUGUAAAAUAAACAUGUUUGUUAAGUGAUUUUUAUUGAAUUUUAGAAAUAUGGAUUAGAUUGUUAAAAGUAUAAAUCCAUGGGUUUUGUUGUGAAAUGUUGGUAAUAAUGGGUUGUUUCAAGGUCUCUUUGAACAUUGGUUAAGUUGGAUUUAGGUUAAAAUGAUUAGAGUUUAAGUUAUGAGCUUGAGGACUAAAUUGUGAAAAGUCAAAGUAUUAGGGUAAAUUUUGUAAUUCUUCAUAAAUAUUAAUUAUGGAUUAAAUUUAAUUCUAGAAGUACUUAAUUGAAUGAAAUUAUUUAUUUAGAUCAAGAUAAACCACAAUCAUACUUAAAUUGAAGAAAAGCUAAAGCUUCGGAUUAGUGUUCGAUUAUACUUUUACGCCCUAGUUAUCGAGGUAAGUUCGUAUGAACUAUGAUCGUUUUAAUGUUAGUUAAAUUGACUAUUUGAUGUGUUGUUUUAAUAUAAAUGAAUCUAUGUAUAAAUGUAUCUAAGUUAUGAUGAUUUGACAGAUAACGAGUCUUGUUUGAACCUUAAGAAUUCUUAGGAUACAAAUGACAUGUCAUUUGGGAUUUCAUGUUUCGGGUGUUGGUUUUGAAUGUCCUAUCGAUGACCGAGGUCCUGUAUUUGUUGCGAGUUUUUCAUAGCUCGUGUGGGCAGCAUCGUGUAGCUAACAUUCUGACCCAUAACUCAUGUGAGCAGACCUAUUUCAUAGCUCGUGUGAGCAUUAAUGUAAAGGAAAUGUUACGGUUAUAUGGAAAGGCACACUACGUGUGAGCAUUCCUGAGUAUCUGAUGUAAUUUUAGAUGGUUCAAUGGGUAAGAAAAGGAAAUGAAAUGGUAAGUAUGCAAAUGGAAUGAAUCAUGAUUUUAUAAUGACAUUGAUGAGUUAAAUGAUGUGUUUAUAUAUGGUAAACUACAUAUCUUAUGGUUGAUUUCAUUUGUAUCAUGAACAAGUAUACUAACUUGUUAGUUUGAUGAUGUUGUAUAGGCUUUUACUAAGCUUAUGGCAUUGGUAAUGAUUUAUGCUUAAUCUAUGAAUUGUAUAAAUGAAAUGGUAAGUUAUGCUAAGUUUUUACGAGCUUACUAAGCACUCGUUGCUUACAUAGUUACUUUCUUUUGUUUUAUAGAUUAUUUAAAGCUCGAUCGGUUGGAAGUUAAUCGAAGACCUAUCACACUAUCCAACAAUCAUUUCAAUAGUUUUUUUUUGUGUGUAUUUUGGCCAAGGUUAAUAAUGACAUGUAUAAGAUCUUUGUAAUGUAAGUUUUGGUAUGUUUAAGCUUUUGCAGUUAUGUUGGUUUGGUGCACUUUGAUAUCUUACCAAGUUAUGUCAUAUUGGUCACUUAAGUGCUUUUAAACAAAGUUCUUUUGGUAUGUUUUGAUGGCUUGAAAAUGGCCAUAUGUGGUAGUUAAUUGAACUAGGUUAUUAUGCUUGGGAAUAUACAAUAUUGACUUGUUUUGGUAAGUGAUGUUUUGAUAUAUUUGUGGUGCCUUUGAGUGGCAUAUUGGUUAGAUGAAUUAGGGUGUUUGAAAAGGCAUGUUUUUGUGUAUUUGAAUGAAGUUUAAAUUCCUUGAAUGUAUGCCCAAAUGGUUUGAAUGGUUAGGUAUGAAUUGGACUUGAAAUGGCUUGAUUUUAGGUUAAAUUUUGGGUUCACAUGGCCUGGGACACGGGCUGUCACAUGGCCGUGUGACACACACAGCCUGGCGACACGGUCGUGUGUCAUUUCAAAUUUUUUAGUGAUUCAAGUCAGUGAGUUACACGGCCUGACACACAGGCGUGUGUGGCAACUCAGAGAGUUAUACGACCAUGUGACCCUUCUCAGUGAGUUACACGGGUGAGGAAACAUGCUAGGACACCGUCGUGUGUCCUUUGUUCGAAUGUGUCACGGCUUGGCCACACGACUGUGUGACCCCCGUUUUCAUAUUUUUGCAUCUUUUUCUUAAAAUUUCUAUUUUGUUUCGAUUCAGUCCUGAAUUGUUUCUAAGCUAUUUUUAGGGCCUCGAAGGCUCGAUUUAGGGAUAAAAUGCAUAUGAAUGAUUGGUUUACAAUAAAUUUAAUUUAUUUUAUAUUAUAGUGUUAAAUGAUUUUCGGUUGAAAGGUAAUGCUCUGUAACCCUAAUCUAGCGACGGAGACGAGUUGGGGUGUUUCAAUGCUUGUACUAUUCUUUCGUCUAGUUAAAGUAUGAACUAGAAUGACAUGAAUAUAUUACAAGGUUGGAGGGAGGCACUUAGCCUUAGACUGGCUCGGGUUGCACGGAAUGACAGCCUCAGAGAUUUCUGACGAACAUAGAAAGAUCGAUUAAUGGAUGUGUUGUGGGACGGAUGAGAGCUCGGUCACUACUAAGAAAUCAUUAGAAUAUAGGCUGAGAGUGACAGCAAAAAUUGCAAUACUAAAGUGUUGAGUGAUACCCUCAAGACAGAAUGAUAUAGCUCGUGGGUCAUCCCCCGAGAAUAAUACAGUCGGUAGGAAGAAUGUGGAGAAAAACUUGAAUGUAAGCUCAACAUAUGUCGACUCCACGAUCGUGAAGAAUCGAUCCCAUGGGGUUGCGAUUAAAAGAGAAUGAAUCGGUGUGAAUAAGUCCACAAUAUGGAAGGCAUCCCAAUCUACACGUCUACCCACGCCCAAUGCUCUAUCCUUAAGAUUCUGGCACUCUCCACAUAGGGUGGAUGGUCGAAGGUGAGGUAUUGGUAACGAGUGGUUGUUAUCGGAGAGGAUGAAGAUGAGGUCCAUGUGGCUUUUCUUUUAUUAGAAUAAGUGGGGACCCCACUUUUUCCUCGUCGGUUUUGCAUUUUGUAUCUGAAAUAAAAUAUAAUAACCAAAUAUCAGAUAACCAAAAAUCAAAACCACAAAAAAUAAAUCUAGCAAAUAGACAAAUCAACAUACGAAAUAAAACAUAUCGGCAAGCGAACUACCUCACGAUAAAAGUCAAAUCACAACGAGUCUAACCGAAAUCUACUUCGAAUACAAAACUUGAGCUAAUACUAAUACUAUUGAGGCAAAAAAAAAUUAAACUAACCAACUAAAACUAAUAAUAAUAGAAUAAUAAAAUAAUAACAAUAAUACUAAUACUAAACAAAAUAAACAUAUUAAUAAUAGUAGGAGUAAUAAUAAUUAAAAUAAUAAGAAAAUAAAUAAAAACAAAAAUAAUAAAAAUUAAAUAAAAUGAAAUGAAAGAAUAGGGUUGAGCCAAACGGUGGUAACAGCAAUGGUUGGUGGCGAUGGUGAAUGGAGGCGCGGUGGUAGAAGCGAGUGAGGACGUGGGAGAGGGCUGAUGGUGGUAAUGCACAGGUGAAGAGGGUUAGAACAGAGGGAAAAAAACCAGACGGUAGAGGAAAUGGCAUGAUUGACGGUGGGGGAAGGAAAUGGAAAAAGAGAAGCGCGGGAAGGAAAGGAAACGACAUGAUCGACGGUAGAGGACGUGUGUCUAGCCAAUGUGGAAUGGCCCAGCUUGUGUGGCUCUGAAAGAUUCCUCCGAUUUUUUGAUUUUCGCUCCUUUUGCUUCCAAAUGCUCUCCUAAGUAUAAAAACAUGAAUAUAUAGGAUUAGGGGCAUAAAAUUCACCAUUUUAAAUCGAAUAAUGAUCCAAAACUGCAUUAAGAAUAAGGCUAAAACAUGUUACUUUUGGCAUUUAUCAAUAGGAAAUGGGUUGGUUUGAAAAUAAAUGGAUUGCUUGUCGUAGAAUAUUAUUCUCGGCAUAACUCAAAAUAUAAAAUUUUAAAAAUUAUAUUUAAUACAAUAAAACAUUUAUUAUAUUUAUGGUAGUAUUUUUUAAUGUGGUAUGAAACUCUUAGUUGAUGAAACGUGUUUAGUGGUAGAUUGAAUAGCCUAUUAGAUCAUUAAUUCUGAAGCCAUUAAUCAUAUUUGUGUUUAUUGCAGGGGUUCAAGUAAAUGAGAAGCCUUCGUGAGAAGGAUCUCUCGUUGCAAACUAGAGAUGGGCGAAAUGUAGAGGCAAAAGUAGUGGGAGAAGUACAUUUGUAUUUUGAUAAUUUUAGGAAGAUCAUUUUAAAAAACAUUUUUUAUCUACCUAGUUUUAGGAGAAAUUUAAUUUCUGUUGCAUGUUUAUUUCAAAACAAUUUUUUUUUUACUUUUAAUAAAGGGAUUGCAAUUCAUAAAAA